UCCCUGUAAAAAGCUUUUGUUUUUCAAUCUCACCUUUAACUACUUUCAGAAGCGAGUGAAAGAAAGACGCAACUUAUUUUUAAUACUAUUUUUCUCUUUUAAACAGCUGUUUGCUGGAUGCAAGGCGAUGAGGUAAUGUAUCUAUUUGUGGCUGUGUAAGAUUAAUAACUAUAAUAUGACGAUGGUGAAACAAAGUAAACUUUGUUUUAGUACCGUUCAUACAUCUAGGUUACAUGUAAGCCUACAACUAACAGAUUUGGAUGUUCAGUAAUAGUAAUUAACAUUCCCCAUAUUACAUGCCUGUGUAGGAGGAAGACGGCCAAUUCAGGAUCGGUUUUGAGUCCUUUCAAAUCCUGCAAUUCUCUCCAUCUAUUGAAUGACAAACCAAGGUUGACUUGUGUUUUCGGCCGUACUCUAUCACUGUAACCUUUUAGCUUUUUUUUUUGUUCUUCGGUCAAUUCUUUUCUUUUUCUCUUUGCUGACCGGCCCCCCCAGUCCCCAGACUGUUUCAUAACCAGUUAAAAACUCCUUUUAGUAACUUUAAUAUCGGGUUUACUAUAAACUGUCCUCUUGCAGUUGGAUGCUCAUCAAAAAUGGAUCACACCAUAUAUUAUACAGAUAAACCUCAAUAUCAAGGAAGUAACAAUACAUUAAACAAAGCCUAAAGGCACGACAAAGCAGGAUUUGUCACCCUGAUCACAUUCUGGUUGUCUGUAAAAAUAUUUAGAUUUUAAUACUUUCAGAAAACUGUGCACCUUGUUAAUUAACCCUUUAGACGUGUACUGUAGCCUCACAUUGCCUCUCUUCCCAAACAGCAGUCUAUAAUAAACUUAUGCAUCAAUUCUUUCUCAAUCUGUUUGUGCAGUCUUUUGCACAGCAGCUAUUUACAAUUUAAGCAGUGGUUUUUAUGUUGUUUUUCCAUGUGAAUGCACAAUGACAGGUGCUGACUGUUGGGUGUUUGCCACUCAGGGAGCAGUGAUCGUGGUGACUUGUGCAUAUCCUCUAUUAUACUCUGCUCUCUCCUCCCUACUGUCUGUUGUUUUGGUGCUAUGGUGUUUGAGACUAUAUAGAGAAUAUUGGAUACCGGAGAAUAUUGUGACUGACUUGAUUUGCUGAAGUGGCUUGAAUAGAUUAGAUGCUACACUCAAAGUGGAUUUUGUUUUAUUGGCUGAAUUUAAAGUUAUUGCUUUUCCAAAAAAUCCUUCCUUUUUUUUUUUACAAGAUUCAGACUAACUCCACUAAACACAUCAUAACGGGGCACCCUUGAAUGAACAGUUAGUGGAAUUAUUAAAAUCAGGCAGUUUGCAGAAUUUAAACAGAAGAGAUGACGGAAGACAGCACUUCUCCCGCAGUGGUAGCACCGGUGCCGUCUACAGUAGCCCCAGAGGAAGCGGUAAGCCCGGCCCUGGGCGGACUGCGAAGAUCCAGGAACGGAGAUUAGGGAGGUUUGUUCCCCUGGUUCGUGUAGGGCGAUGUGUAGGCUCGGCAGCGGAUCCGCAGAGUGGUGUAGGCCGGAUCCGAGUGGUAGUGGCUCGUGAGGUGUAGCUGGCAGAGCCGGGGAGACAGCUGGCAGGCUGGCAGACAUCCGGAGGGUGCACGUGACUACGAUCACUAGCGAGGGGUAUUAAGUGUACGGAGACGAUCUGGCGCUGGUACACACACACACACAUACACACACACACACACACACCACUCCAGACUAACAGAGGACACACAAGACACACAAGGAGAGGAAAGCACACCAGAGCCUGCAGGGGUCGUACGGGCAUGGUGGCUGACUAUGACAGAAUAUAAACAUGAUGAGAGGGAACCACGCUGGAGUAGGAUGGAGAGGGGAACACGCAGGAGUGGAGACACAAGGGAGUGGAAAUACACUUGAGUGGAACGUUGAGAAGACUCUCGUGGAGUCCUUAGUUCAACGAGAUCGGACAACUGACUGAGGAAGCCCAUACCUCACACUAAUGUAGGUGGGAGAAGAAGACUUGGCAGCCCUGCAGCAAGCUUUCCAGGCAGACUGGAUUAAUGUUCAUCAGCUGCUGGAACAAACUGGCCUCUCCUAUAGCCAUUAACCAUCCACAUCAUCCCAAGGAAAAGGAUAGACACAGAUGACUUAAAGAUGUUCCUGGUGGUGUUUGAGAAGGGAAUGACAACUUGUGGAUGACUAGAGAAUGAGUGGGACGUGUGCCUCUUCCUCCUGCACUCACUUCUGACAGGUACUUCUUUCAGCACACAGCCAUCAUCCAGAAGUCUAAGAAAAAGCAUCCUGGACCACAUAGGCUGCAAAACUCCAGACCACUGUCAUCUGUCUCUCCCUCCUCUGCAUCUUCACAUUCCAACCACAGCAAUCCAGGAGUGAUGGUGGUGUCCAUGACAUGGGCACUACAGGAAAGAGCGUCCAUCGGUAGACUACCCCAAACAGAAAUGGCCUUACUGGGGGGUAGACAUUAUGCUUUGACAGAUUCUGGCUAUAUAUGCAAUCAAUGAUUCAUUAAUGCCCGCUGCAACCAGAGACAUUAUUUUAGGUUAUGUGCACACAACUUAUAUUCACACAAAACUUGGUGACCUUACAUAUUAUAUAUUAAAUAUGCAUGUGCUACAUGCAGCAGGCAUAAUUUUUGGCUGACUGAUCAGCUUCUUGGGGGUACUGGGCUAUAAAGAGGAAGCACAGUUGCAACAGGUGAUACACCUGAUGCUGCUCCUGUGGGCAGAGGAAAGGGGUGGAGACUUUGGCAGAGCGCCCUCAUAUUCCUAAUUUUCCCCUAUGGAAGAUUUUCCACUGGAGCAGUCUCACGCCAAUACACAACACUCAGUCAUUAAUAGUCAGAAGGAGCAAUCUGGCACAGUGCUCAUCCACCUUCACUUUGUUUUGGCAAGAGAUGGACCAUAUAGAAUGAGUUGUGACUCUCAAACAAGUUAGAAUAUUGGCCAGUUGCUGGUGCUUAAAAGCCAUUGGGAAAUGAUUUUCAAGGCAGCUCAUAUUCACCAAAUGUGCCUGACAAAUGCAAGUCCUUUAUGUCAGGCAAAUUACACAAGCUGUACAAAUUAAUGGGUAUCCAUUAAACAAGACUAGUAUUUAUCAUCAGUAAUGGAGAGAGAUGAAUUUGGGCCAGAGAAUGUAAAACCAGCUAAUCUAGACUCAAACCGUCUCUCACUGACCCAGAGAGCAGAUGUGGAGUUGCUCCAACAGCGAAUGAUUUGUUAGGGACUUUGCUAAGAACUAAAUUGUAGAGAUGGCAGUCCCAUCAUAGUACACAAGUUGGAUUCUGUGUGUGGAUUAUGGCCCUGUCCAUAUUGCAGUGCCCCAUCGUCUGGGUCAAUGACACUAUUGUAGCUGACAACUGGGAGCUGCAUCCCAUUGUGCUGACUCUCUGAAUCAAUUUAUAGACAAAUUGUUAUCUCUGUACUGAAUGCACAGAGAAGAAAUAUAGUUCUGUUCCUCCAUCUGCCUCUGUUUACGAUGGCAAACAAGUGUUUUUCUCAAAAUGUGAGAUUGUCCCUUUAAUGAGGAGGUUGGUAAUUAAAUCAGUAUUUUUAAAUUGCCUCUUUUUGGCUUAUCACUCAGGUCAAAUAGCAGAGACAUGUUUGGAAAAUUAGCUUUUACUGUUGUUGCAAUAUCAGAUGUAACCAUCUCUAAUUAAUAUGUUACGUGACUGGCGUGAUGUAGCACAUAAUUUUUUUAGGGAAAUCUUAAACACUUAGAUACAGCAUAGUUUCUUCAGUGCCUGCAAGCUUGCAGCUUCUGUUAUUUGUCUCUCUGUCUUUGCACCCUCGUUAAUCUGACUCUUACCCCAUUCUCUGUUAUUUUAUUUUCACCUCUUUCUUGCCAGUAUGUGCAGGGGAAGGAGAUGUCUCAUAACAGAUAUAAUAACAAUAUAAUAUAAUAAAAUAUAUUAUCCUCAUCUGACCAUAAUCGUACUUGGUUUUGUUGUCAUAAAAAGGGACAUACUGAAAGCUCUGUCACCGACUUCACCUCAGAGAAAGCACUGCUGAAAUUAAAGGAGCCAGAUUCAAAGUGAUGAUGAAUAAAUGUUGCUGAAAUGUCAUUAUAUGCCCAAAUUACUUCUGCUCAAUGCUUUUCUAAAACUUCAGCUGUGGCAUUAUGCACUGCAGAUUCAUUCAUUUUCCACUUUAUCCAUUCUUUCUUGUGCUGAUUUGUCUUGCGCUGUAGCUGACUGGUUUAUGUUAGUGCUGAAACCUGUAACGUACCAUCAGUGUAUUUUAGUGAUGUGCAGCUGUCGGUGUUAAUAAACUCUUGAGUGUUUGCAUCUUCAGGUUUAUUUGUUUGAGAAAAUAAAAGAGACACCUGAA